CUGCAUUCAGUCACAAGGGAAAUGUGGAUCACAAUGGAUCAGCAUUUCUGAAUCCAGAGCACAGAAGGAGAAUACCUCUGGGCCAGAAAGCUACAAGCCGCGCCCACACAGACGUACCCAGUGAGAGAGAGAAGAAAGCAGAACCAUCACUACACAAGAUGGAGGACGCUCUACCGCGUUUGAAAAUGAACCUCAGGGACGUGUCUGGUAGUACAUACUGAUCAGACGCCCUGCGAUUGGCCCUUGGAUGGCAAAUGUCUGAAAGUACGGCAUGUCCAUGGCAGCAUGUUGCUCGGGGCCUUUUGGAGGCUAUCGCCAAGGCUGUGACGUUGGGAUCGCCCACGUCUGGGUGGACGGCUGUCCUUCGCUGUGCUGAAAGACGUUCUGUUCGUUACACUUUCACACUCUGCUCGUCCAGGCCAGGCACGGAAACGCGGUGGAAUAAAUGAAGAUUAAA